GCCAGACUCCUACGGGAGGCAGCAGUGGGGGAUAUUGCACAAUGGGGGGAACCCUGAUGCAGCGACGCCGCGUGGGUGAAGGAGCGUUUCGGCGCGUAAAGUCCUAUCGGCAGGGAAGAAGGAGGACGGUACCUGACUAAGAAGCCCCGGCUAACUACGUGCCAGCAGCCGCGGUAAUACGUAGGGGGCAAGCGUUAUCCGGAUUUACUGGGUGUAAAGGGGGCGCAGACGGCAGCGCAAGCCAGGAGUGAAAGCCCGGGGCCCAACCCCGGGACUGCCCUUGGAACUGCAUGGCUGGAGUGCGGGAGGGGCAGGCGGAAUUCCUGGUGUAGCGGUGAAAUGCGUAGAUAUCAGGAGGAACACCGGCGGCGAAGGCGGCCUGCUGGACCGCGACUGACGUUGAGGCUCGAAAGCGUGGGGAGCAAACAGGAUUAGAUGCCCUGGUA
rnacentral:rRNA from 1 species